rnacentral:rRNA from 1 species
CUCCUACGGGAGGCAGCAGUUAGGAAUCUUGCGCAAUGGGCGAAAGCCUGACGCAGCCAUGCCGCGUGAAUGAUGAAGGUCCUUAGGAUUGUAAAUUCUUUCAGCGGGACGAUAAUGACGGUACCCGCAGAAGAAGCUCCGGCUAACUUCGUGCCAGCCGCCGCGGUAAUAC